UUUUUAAAGAAUUAAUAAUAUUCCUGCUGGAUGUAGUGGCACAAUCCUGUAAUCUCUGGGAUUUGGAGGCUGAGGCAUGAGGAUCACAAGUUUAAAGCCAGCCUCAGCAAUUUAGCAAGACCCUGUCUCAAAAAGUAAAAAAGGUCUGGGGAUGUGGUUCAGUAAUUAAGGGCCCCUGGAUUAUCAAAGAAAAAAAAGUUAAUAUUCCAGAAUAUGGAUACCCAUAAUUUUAUUUAUUCCCCCACUGAUAAGCACUUAGUUUAUACCCAUGUUUGUAAUAAUCUUUAUGCUGUUUUUGUUUUAAAUUACAAAUAUGUGUUCAUUGUAAAUUUUUUUUCUUAAAUAUUGAUAGAGGCAAAAAAAAUAAAAAUUGUUAAAGACAAAAGUUCACCACAUCCCUACCAGUUGGAGAUAACUCCUUUAUCUUGUCAGUUGCACACCAUGGAGUGCUUACUAUAAGCCAGAUAUCACACAAAGCAAUUCAAGGAAUGGAAGUCUGAGGUUUGAAGAAACAGCUCUCCAGCGAGGCUUGCCCAAGGUCACACAGCUAGAAACAGUGGCACAGCCAGGAAUUGGGCCCAACUUUAUCUGGUUCCAAGGCUCUCCUGGCCACUUACUGUUAACAUUCCAGUAGGUUUCCUUCCAAUCUUUUUUCCUAUACAACAGGACAAAAAUAUUUACAUAUAAAUAUUCAUGGUUUUUCCUCCUCCAGAUUUAGUUCUAAGGAAUUUUAGGAGGGCAGAGGGAAAGGGACAGACCUAAGUGAAAGCCUGAUAGCAGCUGGAGGAGUUGCCUGCGGUCCCACUCAGGAAAAGCAGGGGGAGAAGUGAGCUGGCGGGGCUGGUCAGGAAUUUGGAGAACAGAGAGCAGAGGAGCUUGGGGAGAUACUCUGAAAGCUUGGAAGACUUUGGAGGAUUUUGAAAAAACAUCUUGUGAGGUGUCCCUUUGUAAGCCCUUGCAGCAAUCUUUUUUUUUUUUUUUUCUUUUCC
rnacentral:lncRNA from 1 species